rnacentral:rRNA from 1 species
CCUACGGGAGGCAGCAGUGGGGAAUCUUGCGCAAUGGCCUAACGGCUGACGCAGCGACGCCGCGUGUAGGAUGAAGCUCUUCGGAGUGUAAACUACUGUUGCCCGGGACGAAUAGCUCGAUUAAUCGAGCCUGACGGUACCGGGUGGGGAAGCACCGGCUAACUCCGUGCCAGCAGCCGCGGUAAUACGGGGGGUGCGAGCGUUGUCCGGAAUCACUGGGCGUAAAGGGCGCGUAGGUGGUUUGAUAAGGGUGUGGUGAAAGCCCGGAGCUCAACUCCGGGUCUGCCGUGCCGACUGUCAAACUCGAGGACUGUAGAGGCAGACGGAAUUCCGGGUGUAGCGGUGGAAUGCGUAGAGAUCCGGAGGAAGACCGGUGGCGAAGGCGGUCUGCUGGGCAGUUUCUGACACUGAGGCGCGACAGCGUGGGGAGCAAACAGGAUUAGAUACCCUGGUAGUCCACGCCGUAAACGAUGGGUACUAGGUGCCUGGGGGAGCGACCCUCUGGGUGCCGGCGCUAACGCAGGAAGUACCCCGCCUGGGGAGUACGACCGCAAGGUUGAAACUCAAAGGAAUUGACGG